UUACGGUCAUAUCACGUUCAACACCGGUUCCUGUACGAUUACCGAAGUUAAGCAACGUCGAGCCUGGUUAGUACAAAAAUGGAUGAGCGCUUGGGAUGUGCGGCUGGUGU